rnacentral:tRNA from 1 species
GAAGUGCUGGUUCAGUGGUAGAAUUCUUGCCUUCCAUGUGAGAAACCUGGGUUUGAUUCCCAGCCAGUGCA